GAUGAACGCUGGCGGCGUGCCUAAUACAUGCCAGUCGAGCGAACAGACGAGGAGCUUGCUCCUCUGACGUUAGCGGCGGACGGGUUAGUAACACGUGGAUAACCUACCUAUAAGACUGGGAUAACUUCGGGAAACCGGAGCUAAUACCGGAUAAUAUAUUGAACCGCAUGGUUCAAUAGUGAAAGACGGUUUUGCUGUCACUUAUAGAUGGAUCCGCGCCGCAUUAGCUAGUUGGUAAGGUAACGGCUUACCAAGGCAACGAUGCGUAGCCGACCUGAGAGGGUGAUCGGCCACACUGGAACUGAGACACGGUCCAGACUCCUACGGGAGGCAGCAGUAGGGAAUCUUCCGCAAUGGGCGAAAGCCUGACGGAGCAACGCCGCGUGAGUGAUGAAGGUCUUCGGAUCGUAAAACUCUGUUAUUAGGGAAGAACAAAUGUGUAAGUAACUAUGCACGUCUUGACGGUACCUAAUCAGAAAGCCACGGCUAACUACGUG
rnacentral:rRNA from 1 species